CCUACGGGAGGCAGCAGUGGGGAAUAUUGGGCAAUGGAGGAAACUCUGACCCAGCGACGCCGCGUGCGGGAUGAAGGCCUUCGGGUUGUAAACCGCUUUCAGUAGGGAAGAAGCGAAAGUGACGGUACCUACAAAAGAAGCACCGGCUAACUAUGUGCCAGCAGCCGCGGUAAUACAUAGGGUGCAAGCGUUGUCCGGAAUUAUUGGGCGUAAAGAGCUCGUAGGUCGUUUGUUACGUCGGAUGUGAAGACCUGAGGCUCAACCUCAGGCCUGCAUUCGAUACGGGCAAACUAGAGUUUGGUAGGGGAGACUGGAAUUCCUGGUGUAGCGGUGGAAUGCGCAGAUAUCAGGAGGAACACCAAUGGCGAAGGCAGGUCUCUGGGCCAAUACUGACACUGAGGAGCGAAAGUCUGGGGAGCGAACAGGAUUAGAUACCCUGGUAGUCCAGACCGUAAACGGUGGGCACUAGUUGUGGGAACCUUCCACGGUUUCUGCGACGCAGCUAACGCAUUAAGUGCCCCGCCUGGGGAGUACGAUCGCAAGAUUAAAACUCAAAUGAAUUGACGG
rnacentral:rRNA from 1 species